rnacentral:rRNA from 1 species
AUACGGAGGGGGUUAGCGUUGUUCAGAAUUACUGGGCGUAAAGCGUACGUAGGCGGAUUAGUAAGUUAGGGGUGAAAUCCCGAGGCUCAACCUCGGAACUGCCUCUAAAACUGCUAGUCUUGAGUUCGAGAGAGGUGAGUGGAAUUCCUAGUGUAGAGGUGAAAUUCGUAGAUAUUAGGAGGAACACCAGUGGCGAAGGCGGCUCACUGGCUCGAUACUGACGCUGAGGUACGAAAGUGUGGGGAGCAAACAGGAUUAGAAACCCCAGUAGUCC